rnacentral:rRNA from 1 species
UACGGGGGGGGCAAGCGUUGUUCGGAAUUACUGGGCGUAAAGGGCUCGUAGGUGGCCAACUAAGUCAGACGUGAAAUCCCUCGGCUUAACCGGGGAACUGCGUCCGAUACUGGGAGGCUUGAAUCCGGGAGAGGGAUGCGGAAUUCCAGGUGUAGCGGUGAAAUGCGUAGAUAUCUGGAGGAACACCGGUGGCGAAGGCGGCAUCCUGGACCGGUAUUGACGCUGAGGCGCGAAAGCCAGGGGAGCAAACGGG